UUCGCACCGCAACAUUUUCAAGUUCAAGCGAAGCCACAAUUUCUCUCUAAUCUUCUUCUACUACCUUCAAGGUACUCUCAUUUUUUCUUCAUUUCUUCGUUUCAAGUUAUUCUUUUUUGCUUUUUUAUUCUAUUUUGGGUUAGGUUUUUGCAUUUCUGUGCUGUUUUUCUUCGAAAUUAGGUUAAGUUUUGUUUUUAAUUUUGUUCGGG